CUCUGCCUCUGGUAAUGUAUGGCUCCCAGUAUGCCUCCUUCAAGAGCAUGACUGACCCAAUUACUAGUAUGAGCAAAAGAAAGUUUCAGAAAGGUGAUGAAAUUUAAGCUGGGCUUUAAAGGCUACAUCAAAUUUGACAAAUGGAAUUGUGAGGAAAGCACAUUAGAAGUAAAGAGUGAACCCACAAAAACAAGAGAACAUCAUGUUUCUAGAGGCUGCCUGCAUUCCUUGGCUAAUGACUUUGCAUCACUCUGACGUCUUGCUCCCAUGGUCGUAUCACCUACUACUGGCCCUGAUCUCACUACUUGUUAUAUGGAACAAAGGGAUAAGGAAGUGACUUGCCUAAGUCACUGAGGAACCUAAUAUUGAGAUUAGCACUCAAUGAUUCCUGGCUCUCAGAAUGUGUGCUGCUACCACCAGGCCACACUCUUCCCUCCAGAGAGAAGAUGUGUCAGCACGGAAUUGUGCUGAAGCAAAGAUGUGAAAUAGAAUGAUUACAUAUCUACCUAGUGGGAAGAUCUGGGGAAGAAUCUAUCAGUGCUGGCAGAGAAGCAAACCAUACGACAUCACUCAUCCCCAGAAAGUGAAGUUAAGGGAAAUAAAAAACAAUCUACACCAUUUAGAAAACACAGCCACCCCAUACCCUUGGAAAAAAUACACUAAAAUAUCUUCAUCUGAUUUGACCUCUAAUAACAUGAAUAAUUGUCUUAUAACUCACUUUCUUACCUCUUGAUUAUUCUACAGAUCCGGCACAUAUGAGCAAAAUCUGAUGAAAUUCACUCAUUUAAUUUGAAGAUUUUAAUUAUGUAGAAAAAGUAGGUUCGCAUUCUUUCUUAUUAAUAGAGUUCAAAAGACUUAAGGCCUAGAGUCUAG
rnacentral:lncRNA from 1 species